rnacentral:snRNA from 13 species
GUUUCUUCGGCGGUACGUUUACUAAAAUUGGAACGAUACAGGGAAGAUCUUGGCCCCCUGCGCAAGGAUAACAAAACGAAAUUAAACCUUUUU